rnacentral:tRNA from 1 species
GUUCCCGUAGCUCAACUGGAUAGAGUGUCGGCCUCCGAAGCCGAAGGUUGCAGGUUCGAAUCCCGCCGGGAAUA